rnacentral:rRNA from 1 species
CACGUAGGGCGCGAGCGUUGUCCGGAAUUAUUGGGCGUAAAGAGCUCGUAGGCGGCCUGUUGCGUCCGCUGUGAAAGCCCGGGGCUUAACCCCCGGGUCGGCAGUGGAUACGGGGCAGGCUAGAGGUGGGUAGGGGAGAAUGGAAUUCCCGGUGUAGCGGUGAAAUGCGCAGAUAUCGGGAGGAACACCGGUGGCGAAGGCGGUUCUCUGGGCCUUACCUGACGCUGAGGAGCGAAAGCGUGGGGAGCGAACAGG